GUGUCAGCAGCCGCGGUAAGACGUAGGCUACGAGCGUUAUCCGGAAUUAUUGGGCGUAAAGAGUUCGUAGGUGGUAUGUUAAGUUGGAUGUUAAAACUUUGAGCUCGACUCAAAGUCUGUGUCCAAAACUGGCAAACUAGAGACAGGUAGAGGUAAGUGGAAUUCUGUAUGUAGGGGUAAUAUCCGUAGAUAUACAGAGGAACACCAAAAGCGAAGGCAGCUUACUGGACCUGUUCUGACACUCAAGAACGAAAGCGUGGGGAGCAAACGGGAUUAGAUACCCCAGUAGUCC
rnacentral:rRNA from 1 species